rnacentral:rRNA from 1 species
AGGACGAACGCUGGCGGCGUGCUUAACACAUGCAAGUCGAGCGGAAAGGCCCUUCGGGGUACUCGAGCGGCGAACGGGUGAGUAACACGUGAGCAACCUGCCCUUAGCUCUGGGAUAGCUCCGGGAAACCGGAAUUAAUACCGGAUACGACCUAGGCCGACAUCGGCCAUGGUGGAAAGUUUUUCGGCUAGGGAUGGACUCGCGGCCUAUCAGCUAGUUGGUGGGGUAAAGGCCUACCAAGGCGACGACGGGUAGCCGGCCUGAGAGGGCGACCGGCCACACUGGGACUGAGACACGGCCCAGACUCCUACGGGAGGCAGCAGUGGGGAAUCUUGCGCAAUGGGCGAAAGCCUGACGCAGCGACGCCGCGUGGGGGAUGAAGGCCUUCGGGUUGUAAACCCCGUUUCAGCAGGGACGAAGCGAAAGUGACGGUACCUGCAGAAGAAGCGCCGGCUAACUACGUGCCAGCAGCCGC